ACCACUUUUUCAACCGACAUAUUCAUUCAUAUUUUCUCUUUCACUUGUUCUUCUCCUCAAACCCUCCACUCUUUCUCCUAACUCUUCUCUCUUUAGUCCUUUCUCUUAUAUAACUCUCCACACGCCAAUUAAUCUCCUAAACUCUAAAUCCCAUUUCUCCAACUUUCAAGCUUCUUCCUUCAGGUUUAGCCAUGGUGACGAUGGGCUUAGAGAGGUUGAUGGUGAGCUUGAAGUCUAAACUAAGGUCUUUGAAGAUGAAGAAAGUUUACGACAAGAUUGAGAAGAGUGAAAGCAUGAGAGUUGAAAUCAGAAGCAGGAAGGCCAGGAGGCUCAUAGAAAACACCCUCAAAAUUGCUGACUCUCCCAAGACCAAAACUUUUGCUUAAUUUCCACAGUUACUUGUGUUUAGAUUUGAUUCUUGCUCUCUGUUAUCUCAAACGUCCAUAUCUACAAUUGCCAUAUCACUAACAUAUGGUCCCUAUCCUUCAACAAGUAAUUGGCAGUUGUGAAAUGUCACUACAGUCUAGGUGUUUUCUUUUAUCUUGGUUUACGUGUACACAAUUUGAAUUUUGUUUUCUAAACCAAUCCUUACUGGAUUUGUAUCAAUCUAUUAGGCUAUGGUAGUGAUUAGUAAUAAAUGAGUAGAUAUUUAUAGAA